rnacentral:misc_RNA from 1 species
UUUCCGUAGGUGAACCUGCGGAAGGAUCAUUAAAGAGAAUAUGCCCUUCGGGGUAGAUCUCCCACCCUUUGUUUACAUUACCUUUGUUGCUUUGGCAGGCCCGUCUUCGGACCACCGGCUUCGGCUGGUCAGUGCUUGCCAGAGGACCCAAAACACUUAUUAUUAAUGUCGUCUGAGUACUAUAUAAUAGUUAAAACUUUCAACAACGGAUCUCUUGGUUCUG